rnacentral:rRNA from 1 species
UACAGAGGUCCCAAGCGUUACUGAGAAUCACUGGGUUUAAAGGGUGCGUAGGUGGUCCGUUAAGUCAGUUGUGAAAUCCCCGGGCUCAACCCGGGAACUGCUUCUGAUACUGGCGGACUUGAGGCCAGUAGGGGUCACUAGAACUGACGGUGGAGCGGUGAAAUGCGUAGAUAUCGUCAGGAAUGCCGGUGGUGAAGACGGGUGACUGGGCUGGUUCUGACACUGAGGCACGAAAGCCAGGGGAGCGAACGGG